CAAACUGGUUUCCCUGUUGUCUGUGCAAACAUUGCCACACCCUCUAUCUAAAAUGCACACAUGCCCCCAAACUUACCCAGGCCAGAUGAGGAGAGAGUGCCUGAAAACAUCCCACGGGGGGAGGGGUGAGGGGAGGUAUACAGGAAGGAUGAGAGCUGUUUGGCUCACACCGACAUGCUGUGCUGCUGGAGGCUGUUGUGUGCACAGGUAAGAUGCUAAACUCCAACUUCACAACUAUUUAACAUAAACUCACUCCUUGAUUGGAAUGGUCUCAUUGUCCAACCACCUCUAUGCAAUGCCGUGGGCUGUAAAUUACAUCUGUUCUGUUGUUAUCAGGAUUUACAGGAGGGCGGUGGAGGCUUGAGUGUUAGUUUGCAUGAAGACAGAAACUGGCAGUGAAGCAUAACUCCAACAAGUCAGACAUGAGAGAGGAGUGCCAGUUUGUGUGCAAGAGUUCUCAUGACAUUUGCAUGUCAUGGAUGAUGUGUUAGAGGGAGCAGCUGUGGUGUGUGUGUGUGUGUAAACUGGCCUGCAGUCUUCUCUUCCUUCCCAUGGUCACUGCUUCUCUCAGCGCAGUCAGCUUCUGCUGCAACUGCCUGCUGCUCUUCACAGACCUCGUAGUCACAACCUUCCUGGUUGUACUCUGGUUUACAGAGCCCUGGCUACCUCAAUUUUCCAUGUCCACUGAUGUCAUCGCCCUGCGCUUCCUGCUCUUCCUCAGCUACAUCUACUGGGCAGUGCUGCUGAUGACCACACCUCUGGUUGCUGUGGAGACGGCCAUGAGGUUGCAGUGGCCCCAAGUCUGUGGUGGCGGAGCAGUGGACGGAGACGUUGACAAACAGAGUAAAAAUCCUGCACCUCAUGGCGGUGUGACACUGGAGGUAGAGAACUGGCAGAGCAGGGACACAGACACCCAGAGAGGAGGGAGAGAGGACCAGGACCAGGGAAGUUGUCUGUCCCACAUCAUUGGCUUCUUCUGCUGUCUGCUGGUGUGGGCUGUCUGUGGCAUCUGUGGGGGUCAGGGCUGGAGACUGGAGGUGCUGUGGGUGGAGGUCUGCCUGGAGAGGACCAGCUCCCUCACUCUGUGUCUCCCUAGCCUCCCCAACACCGUCCUGCUUGCUCUGGGUGAGCCCAGCUGGGGCCUGGCCACUGUGACCUUGGCUCUCCUGCUGGUGCUGACGGUGGGCUGGGGCUUUCUCAGAAGACACCUGGCCCACACAGAGACGGACCCACACACACCCACAACCACACAGACACACAAGGAGGAACAUGGUACUGACAUUCAACUGCCCGUUCAAACACUCCCUGCACCACGCAAGGCUAUGAAACCUGUGAUGUCAGUGGCGUCAGCCCCACGGUUUGUUGACACAGAGAUAACAUGGUCCAGAUGCUCCGUUCACAGCCCAUGUUCUGGGAACAACAUGCAGCUGUCACUGGGUCACCAUGUCCUCUUAUCCCUGGAGUUUUUGUCAGCAGACAGACUAGAGGGACACAAAGAGAAAAAGGACUAGGAGACAUACCUCUCACUGGUAUUGUGGAGGAACACACAGACAGGAGCCAGCAUGGGCUCGGGCGAUUUCCCUGCCUGGGGGUGAAUAUAAUGACAGGGUUAAUGUGUCUGCUCACUGUCUGUGUGUUACCUCUAAACCUGUGAACAUCCUACUAAUCAGGCACACAGAGACAAUGCUGCAGUGGAGUUUGAAGAUCUUAAUGUAGUUGAUAAUGUAAAUUCAAUCAUUAAGGAGGUCUGAAAGGCUUGCUCACUUUAUCUUCAUCCACUAAGCAUAAUAUAUCAUAUUGUUUCUUCUCUAUGGGAUAGUUGGUAGCUAUUUUCAAACAAUUUUCUCCCAGCAGGAGGGUCUCGAUGCCCCCCCCCCCUCCCCACACACACACACACACACAGGGAUGGCCACCUGCCAUCAUAUCAUCUGGCGAGACUAUCCCCAAAACAAUUUUAACACAUUUUCAUAUUGCACUUGGUCUUUGUUGUUCAUUCAGUUAGCCUGUCCUCGAUUGAACUGGCUGCACCCAAAGAAGCUAAACAGAGGGGUCUCUCAGUCAACGUAACAUCGGCAUAAAGUCAGUGUACUGGACAAUAAACCUGGAUGGUGUUAGAUAAUGAGGUGUGGCUUGGGAAUGGCAAAGGGGGGUGCAACUCAAUAUUAUAUACACUGACUGAAUAUACACAGAGUAUUCCACACAUGAUUUCAUAGUUUUGGAUCGACUGACCUUCAUGUCUUAAAGUAAUGAUGAACUGUGGUUUCUCUUUGCUUAUUUGAGCUGUUCUUGCCAUAAUAUGGACUUGGUCUUUUACCAAAUAGAGCUAUCUUCUGUAUACCAACCCUACCUUGUCACAACACAACUGAUUGGCACAAACACAUUAAACAAUUCCACAAAUGAACUUUUAACAAGGCACACCUGUUAAUUGAAAUGCAUUCCAGGUGAAGCUGGUUGAGAGAAUGCCAAGAGCGUGCAAAGCUGUCAUCAAGGCAAAGGGUGGCUACUUUGAAGAAUCUACAAUGUAGAAAAUAGUACAAAUAAAGAAAAACCCUUGAAUGAGUAGGCGUGUCCAAACUUUUGACUGC
ensembl:lncRNA